rnacentral:rRNA from 1 species
UACGUAGGGGGCAAGCGUUAUCCGGAAUUACUGGGUGUAAAGGGAGCGUAGACGGCAUGGCAAGCCAGAUGUGAAAUACCGGGGCUCAACCCCGGGACUGCUUUGGAAACUGCCUGACUGGAGUGCUGGAGAGGCAAGCGGAAUUCCUAGUGUAGCGGUGAAAUGCGUAGAUAUUAGGAGGAACACCAGUGGCGAAGGCGGCUUACUGGACAGUGACUGACACUGAGGCUCGAAAGCGUGGGGAGCAAACAGG